rnacentral:tRNA from 1 species
UAUUGUUAUUUUGGCAGAUUAGUGCAUUAAAUUUAGAAUUUAAUUAUGUAAAUGUUUACAAAUAAUAC